rnacentral:lncRNA from 1 species
GUGCUGGGCCUGGCUCGCAGCCAACCGAGACGGCCGAGCAGCUGGACGAGGCCGUGAAGUACUACACCCUAGAGGAGAUUCAGAAGCACAACGACAGCAAGAGCACCUGACUGAUUCUGCACCACAAGUGUACUAUUUGACCAAAUUUCUGGAAGAGCAUUCUGGUGGGGAAGAAGUCUUAAGGGAACAAGCUGGAGGUGACGCUACUGAGAAUUUUGAGGAUGUCGGGCAUCUUUGAGAUGCCAUGGAAUUGUCCAAAACAUAUAUCAUUCAGGAGCCCCAUCCAGACGACAGACCAAAGUUAAACAAGCUUCGGAAACUCUUAUCACUGCUGUUGAUUCUAGCUCCAGUUGGUGGACCAACUGAGUGAUCCCUGCCAUGUCAGCAGUGGCCGUCGCCU